rnacentral:lncRNA from 1 species
CACCUCCAGCCAGCAGACCUGAGAAUCGAAAGUAAGAAGUACAGAAGGAAAGAAAAGCAGUAAGCCCCGAGGCAAAGGUGGCUCUUCAGAGCCUCUUUAUUCUAAGUGACGGAGAGACGGAUGUGAACACGUAACUGAAUCUACUUCCGUGGCCUGGAGGAAAUGGUUCUCUGUAUCCACAAUGCAAGAUGCAACCACACCAGGUGAAACAUACCAUUGUACCAUCCCACUUGUUCAAGUGCUAGCCAAGGUAGCUAAAUCCAGAGAUGGAAAGCAGCAUGUCUGUAAUACAGCUUCAUUUUGAUUGCCAACCUGAUUGGACUAAGAAGUUUCCAGAAGAUCAGGAAAGCCCACAUCUGGGUGCAUCUUUUUUGUGGACUUGUACAAUGGGAUUAACUGGGAGGGGAAACCAACCCGGAACAUAGAUGGCACUGUCCCAAAGCUAGAGGCCCAAGGAGAACUAAAUGGGGAAAGGGGGAAACUGGCAUUUUUGCCCCUCGAUCUCUGCUUCCUGACUGCAACAGUGUGAGGCCUCUCCUUCGUCCUGCUCUCCUUCGUCCUGCUCUCCUUCGUCCUGCUCUCCUUCGUCC